GACGCAAUCCACACUUCAUGACUUCUCAUCCUUUCCUGUGCUGAAGACCUGGGGCUUACAGCGCGUUCUCCGCUGCGUCAAAGCCGACGACGAAGACGACCACGCUGCUUCUGACCGGGUGUCUGCAGGGGAGGAGGAGGUGGAAGAGGGAGAGAAGAAGAACGAGAAUAAGAAGAAGAAAAGGAAAAAGAAAAAAAAAAUUAAGACUACUGACAGCGAAGAUGAAAUGGAUCAGAUCCUAGCGAUGUCGAAGAGGAAGAUUAAACCACCGUUGAUCCAGGAAAAACAAGAACCUGGAUCGGGAGAAAAGGAAGUGCCUUGGAAUCUUCGGACGCGGAGGGGUUGUUACAGUCGUCCUACGGUGGGACGAAACCCUAACUC
rnacentral:lncRNA from 1 species